ACCUACGGGAGGCAGCAGUGGGGAAUAUUGGGCAAUGGGCGCAAGCCUGACCCAGCAACGCCGCGUGAGGGAAGAAGGUCUUCGGAUUGUAAACCUCUGUCCUUGGGGACGAAUUUUGACGGUACCCAAGGAGGAAGCUCCGGCUAACUACGUGCCAGCAGCCGCGGUAAUACGUAGGGAGCGAGCGUUGUCCGGAAUUACUGGGCGUAAAGGGUGCGUAGGCGGCGAUGUAAGUCAGAUGUGAAAUCCCCGGGCUCAACUCGGGUUCUGCAUUUGAAACUACAUUGCUUGAGUGCAGGAGAGGAAAGCGGAAUUCCUAGUGUAGCGGUGAAAUGCGUAGAUAUUAGGAAGAACACCAGUGGCGAAGGCGGCUUUCUGGACUGCAACUGACGCUGAGGCACGAAAGCGUGGGGAGCAAACAGGAUUAGAUACCCGUGUAGUCCU
rnacentral:rRNA from 1 species